AUACGGAGGGGGCUAGCGUUGUUCGGAAUUACUGGGCGUAAAGCGCACGUAGGCGGAUUAAAAAGUUAGAGGUGAAAUCCCAGGGCUUAACCCUGGAACUGCCUUUAAAACUAGUAGUCUAGAGUUCGAGAGAGGUGAGUGGAAUUCCAAGUGUAGAGGUGAAAUUCGUAGAUAUUUGGAGGAACACCAGUGGCGAAGGCGGCUCACUGGCUCGAUACUGACGCUGAGGUGCGAAAGCGUGGGGAGCAAACAGGAUUAGAAACCCCAGUAGUCC
rnacentral:rRNA from 1 species